UCCCUGGUGGCUCAGACGGUAAAGAAACUGCCUGCAAUGCAGGAGACCCGGGUUCGAUCCCUGGGUCGGGAA
rnacentral:tRNA from 1 species